UACGUAGGGUGCAAGCGUUAAUCGGAAUUACUGGGCGUAAAGCGUGCGCAGGCGGUUAUAUAAGACAGUUGUGAAAUCCCCGGGCUCAACCCGGGAACUGCGUCCGAUACUGGCAGGCUUGAAUCCGGGAGAGGGAUGCGGAAUUCCAGGUGUAGCGGUGAAAUGCGCAGGAUAUCAGGAGGAACACCGGUGGCGAAGGCGGGUCUCUGGGCAGUAACUGACGCUGAGGAGCGAAAGCGUGGGGAGCGAACAGG
rnacentral:rRNA from 1 species